CCCUGGUGGCGAGUGGCGAACGGGUGAGUAAUAUAUCGGAACAUGUCCGGAAGUGGGGGAUAACGUAGCGAAAGUUACGCUAAUACCGCAUAUGCCCUGAGGGGGAAAGGAGGGGAUCGCAAGACCUUUCGCUUUCGGAGUGGCCGAUAUCAGAUUAGCUAGUUGGUGGGGUAAAGGCCUACCAAGGCAACGAUCUGUAGCUGGUCUGAGAGGACGACCAGCCACACUGGGACUGAGACGCGGCCCAGACUCCUACGGGAGGCAGCAGUGGGGAAUUUUGGACAAUGGGGGCAACCCUGAUCCAGCCAUGCCGCGUGAGUGAAGAAGGCCUUCGGGUUGUAAAGCUCUUUCAGCCGGAAAGAAAUCGUGCAGAUUAAUACUCUGUAUGGAUGACGGUACCGGAAGAAGAAGCACCGGCUAACUACGUGCCAGCAGCCGCGGUAAUACGUAGGGUGCGAGCGUUAAUCGGAAUUACUGGGCGUAAAGCGUGCGCAGGCGGUUUUGUAAGACAGGUGUGAAAUCCCCGGGCUUAACCUG
rnacentral:rRNA from 1 species